ensembl:miRNA mdo-mir-1549 mdo-mir-1549
CUCGCCGGGCUCGUAGGUAGAAGCUGAGUUUUGUUUUGCUUCCGCCCUGCAAGCCCGGUAGCU